ACACUCUGGUUUCUCUUCAGAUUGUAUAAAUCUCUUACCUUCUACUAAAAAUUUUGAUGGAGAGGAACAAUAAUGAGUCUUAAACCAAUUUUUUAAGGCCUUGUUUCUGCAAGGCU
ensembl:snRNA U5 U5 spliceosomal RNA